AGAAUCAACGCUGGCGGCGUGCCUCAGACAUGCAAGUCGAACACGAAAGUUUCCUUCGGGGGACGAGUAGAGUGGCGCACGGGUGAGUAACACGUAGGUAAUCUACCUUUGGAUGGGGAAUAACAACCGGAAACGGUUGCUAAUACCGCAUGAUGCAGCGGCACCUAAUGGUGACAGUUGUUAAAGCGGGGGAUCGAAAGACCUCGCGUCUGAAGAGGAGCCUGCGGCGGAUUAGCUAGUUGGUAGGUAACGCCUACCAAGGCUACGAUCCGUA
rnacentral:rRNA from 1 species